rnacentral:rRNA from 1 species
GACGUAGGGCGCGAGCGUUGUCCGGAUUUAUUGGGCGUAAAGAGCUCGUAGGCGGCUUGUCGCGUCGACUGUGAAAACCCGAGGCUCAACUUCGGGCUUGCAGUCGAUACGGGCAGGCUAGAAUUCGGUAGGGGGAGACUGGAAUUCCUGGUGUAGCGGUGAAAUGCGCAGAUAUCAGGAGGAACACCGAUGGCGAAGGCAGGUCUCUGGGCCGAUACUGACGCUGAGGAGCGAAAGCGUGGGGAGCGAACAGG